UAGCGGCGUGCUUAGACAUGCAAGUCGUGCGAGAAAGUCCUUCGGGAGUGAGUAAGCGGCGCACGGGUGAGUAACGCGUGGGUAUCUGCCCUUAGUUUGGGAUACCGCGGGAAACCGGAGCUAAUACCGAAUAAGACCACGAUGACCUCGGUUGACGUGAGAAAAGAUGGCCUCUUCUUGAAAGCUAUCGCCAAAGGAUGAGCCCGCGUUUGAUUAGCUUGUUGGUGAGGUAAAGGCUCACCAAGGCUCCGAUCAAUAGCUGGUCUGAGAGGAUGAUCAGCCACACUGGAACUGAGACACGGUCCAGACUCCUACGGGAGGCAGCAGUCGGGAAUAUUGGGCAAUGGGCGAAAGCCUGACCCAGCAACGCCGCGUGAAGGAUGAAGGCCUUCGGGUCGUAAACUUCUGUCGAGAGGGAAGAAAGCGUGCGGGUGAAUAAUCCGUACGUCUGACGGUACCUCCAAAGGAAGCACCGGCUAACUCCGUGCCAGCAGCCGCGGUAAUACGGAGGGUGCAAGCGUUGUUCGGAAUUAUUGGGCGUAAAGCGAGUGUAGGCGGUUUGGCAAGUCGGAUGUGAAAGCCCAGGGCCCAACCCUGGAAUUGCAUCCGAUACUGUCAGGCUAGAGUCCCGGAGAGGGUGGCGGAAUUCCCGGUGUAGGGGUGAAAUCCGUAGAUAUCGGGAGGAACACCAGUGGCGAAGGCGGCCACCUGGACGGUGACUGACGCUGAGACUCGAAAGCGUGGGUAGCAAACAGGAUUAGAUACCCUGGUAGUCCACGCCGUAAACGGUGAGUGCUCGUCGUCGUGGGUAUUGACCCCUGCGGUGACCAAGUUAACGCAUGAAGCACUCCGCCUGGGAAGUACGGUCGCAAGACUAAAACUCAAAGAAAUUGACGGGGGCCCGCACAAGCGGUGGAGCAUGUUGUUUAAUUCGAAGGCAACGCGGCAGAACCUUACCUGGGAUUUGACAUCCUCGGGAAUCUCUUCUGAAAAGGAGAGAGUGUCUUCGGGAAGCGGAGAGACAGGUGCUGCCAUGGCGGUCGUCAGCCCCGUGUCGUGAGGUGUUGGGUUAAAGUCCCGCAACGAGCGCAACCCCUUAUCGUUAGUUGCUUGCCAGUUCGGUUGAGCACCCUAGCGAGACUGCCGGUGUUAAACCGGAGGAAGGUGG
rnacentral:rRNA from 1 species